GAUGUCGUUUCAGUGACGCAUAAGCCUACCUAUACGCUGCAUAAGCUUUUUUGUUGACCUUGCAUUACUCGUACCGUACGUGACAUCUGGAUUCCGUUUGUGGAUUCUAUUUUCCUUUCAAAGAAGAGCUGAUCUCGGAGAAGCUUCUUUUGUGGUGUUAACGGUUUCUACAUAAACAGCGCUGUAGAAAUGUCCAUAUAUAAUAUUGCAUAUGGAAUAUCUCUUGUAACGUUUACGUCAAAACUUUCGUCAAUUGUCAUCGAAGAAAAACAAAAAAGAGGCAGAUUUUCAAUUCUGCAUUGCGGAGAUGAUUAAGAACAAGAUGUCGGCAUGGAUGAGCAGCAGUGAUUUCUCCAAGAAGAUUGCGUGCCACCUCACUAUGCUGUUCCUGUUAUUUAAUCCAAUUAUUUUCCAAUCGAUGGCCCAAUUGACUGGACUGCAUUAUCACCAGAUUUAACUCUGCCGGACGUCUUCCUUUAAGUUUACACCACUGGACCAAAUACUUUGGAUGAACAAAAAAUCAGCAAGGUGAGGCCUUUAAAAUGAUAGAUGGUACCAAUUUGUCUCAGUUGUGCACCAGUUAACUGUGCACUGAAAUUACAAACACCUUUAAGAAAGUUAUUUUGAUCAGCAAUAUAAUGACACCAACUACGGUUUUAUGUAGUAUAACUUUUGAAGACAAUUCCUAAGUUUACCAGCUUGUGUACGAAUUACAUGGAUUUAAGAUGGUCAAUCAUUGUGCAAGUAAAAUGGGGCCAUUACGUUGAUAGUAAACAUUUUGUCUGAUAUUCAAUGAAACAUACUUCAGUAGGUCUAUCAAAUUAAUUACGGAAAAGGAAAAUUGAUGCUGAACGUGAUUUUCCACUGUCACAUGUGGGUUAUUAUCAGUCCAACAUAAAUUUGUAUAUUAUUUACCAAGCAGGAGAUUUUGUUCAAUCCCGUUAGCAGCACUUUGAGUAAUAAUUAUUCUCAGGGAGGAUUGAGGGUAAUAAAAAAACCACAAUUUAAUUGAUUCUGCCAAUAUUUCGUAUCAAUUUCGAUACUUCCUCGGGGCGAGUCUUUAAAUUGCAAUGAAACUAACGAAAAAUCGGAAGAACAUUGUCAACAAACCACGUGCAAAAAAAUUUUUAAAUUUUCUUUUCUCUCAAUAAUUCUAGCAUUAUUUGUCAUGUUUAAAGCUGAUAUCUUAGCAAUAGUUGAAGCCUUCCCAAUGUCAUGAUCUGGGUCAUUUCUGGUGACAAUCCACACACAAAUUAAGCUCAAAAAAUCAUGAUUUCCAGUAGCCAUAUUGCAAUUGGCUGAAUCAACUAGCAAUUUUACCCAUGGCCAACUAACGUCAGGAGCAGCCGGGUCUCCAAAUUUCUUUAGAAAGUUCAUAAGAGAUUCUAUGCUUGUCUUUGUGGAAGACAAUAUGUGUUAUUUACACAAUAUACUGCUGAGAUGUUUCAAUGAUUACACAUAUAUGUGUGAUAUGUAGUUAGGAACAACCAGUCUUUUAUGGCUGUGCUAUGGAUAGGUACACAAGUGUUCUACAAAGAAUAAUUGCCACAGAGCUUCAGAAUAAUUCUUUGUGGCACGCAUGUGUACGUGCAACCUGUACAUUUUGGGAUCUGCUUUUUUGAUAAUUUUUUUUGUUAAAGUUCCCAAGAUGUAACUUUUCCUUUUAACUCUGCUUGUUUUCUGUGUACUGCAUAUUAUGUAACUGUUCACAAAAUUAUUUUCAGUUAUUCAAACUUCUGUAAAAGUAAUAUUAUUACGAUAUAUUAACUGAUUAAGAUAUAUUAACAAUAUCAGUUUCACGCAAUGUUUUAAAUUUUAAGAAUAUCAUCAUGCUAUCAUGCUUAAGUCAAUAUGCUCAAUGUCCAUAAUAAUUGUUUUGAAAAGGACUCAUCUUGGCCAAAGAGGUUGAGAUGAGAUCUUUUCAAAAUAUAUUUCAGAAUAUCACGUAUAUUGCACCAUUAUGACUACAAGGUAUGAUUCGAUCUUGCUCAUAAAAUACACAGUCUGAUUUUCUACAAAUGCGAUAAUAUUAAAUUCAGAUUCUUUGUCUAAAAUUAAGAUUACUAAUGAUUUUUAUACAGUGGUUCUAAGUUAAAUUUGGACAUUGAAGCUUUUCUUACUAAAAAUGUUUAAAUUAAAACAGUUCAAGCAGA